UCAUGGUCUUCUACUUUAUGGUUCACUAUCUGAAGUGAAGGUGUAGUGCUAUGAAACUUCUGAGAAGAAGAAAAGAGGAAGAAUCGGUAUCAUGUAAAUGGCCAUACUGCCCAAGGUAAUUUAUAGACUCAAUGCCAUCCCCAUCAAGCUACUAAUGACUUUCUUCACCGAAUUGGAAAAAUCUACUUUAAAAUUCAUAUGGAACCAAAAAAGAGCCCACAUCACCAAGUCAAUCCUCAGCCAAAAGAACAAACCUGGAGGCAUCACGCUACCUGACUUCAAACUAUACUACAAGGCUA
rnacentral:lncRNA from 1 species